rnacentral:ncRNA from 6 species
GGAACGGGCUUGGCAGAAUCAGCGGG